rnacentral:rRNA from 1 species
GUAGCCAACACUGUUUUUAUAUAUAUAUAUAUAUAUAUAUAUAUAUAUAUAUAUAUAUAUAUAUAUAUUUUUUUUUUAUUGGGUUAGCCCCCAAAAUAUUGGGACAUAUAAAAAAAAGACAACUCAGUUCCACAGAGUAGCUGUUGACAUUAUAGUUGCGCAGGAACUUUGUUGACUCUAGACAACCUCGUGCAAAUCGCACAUCCCCAUGGCGCUUUGCACAAGGUUGCAUGCGGAUGUCAUCCAUAUCAACUUUUGAUGCCAGUUUCUGCGCCUACUGUGGUGACCACCGGUAACAGGGAAUCAGGGUUCCAUUCCAUACAGGGACCCUGAGAAAUGGCUACCGCAUGCAAGGAAGGCAGCAAGCACGCAAAUUACCCACUCCCGACGUGGGAAGGUAGUGAC